rnacentral:rRNA from 1 species
UGGCGGCAGGCUUAACACAUGCAAGUCGAGCGGAGAUGAGGUGCUUGCACCUUAUCUUAGCGGCGGACGGGUGAGUAAUGCUUAGGAAUCUGCCUAUUAGUGGGGGACAACAUUUCGAAAGGAAUGCUAAUACCGCAUACGCCCUACGGGGGAAAGCAGGGGAUCUUCGGACCUUGCGCUAAUAGAUGAGCCUAAGUCGGAUUAGCUAGUUGGUGGGGUAAAGGCCUACCAAGGCGACGAUCUGUAGCGGGUCUGAGAGGAUGAUCCGCCACACUGGGACUGAGACACGGCCCAGACUCCUACGGGAGGCAGCAGUGGGGAAUAUUGGACAAUGGGGGGAACCCUGAUCCAGCCAUGCCGCGUGUGUGAAGAAGGCCUUUUGGUUGUAAAGCACUUUAAGCGAGGAGGAGGAGCUCUAGAUUAAUACUCUAGAUGCUUGGACGUUACUCGCAGAAUAAGCACCGGCUAACUCUGUGCCAGCAGCCGCGGUAAUACAGAGGGUGCAAGCGUUAAUCGGAUUUACUGGGCGUAAAGCGUGCGUAGGUGGUCUUUUAAGUCGGAUGUGAAAUCCCUGAGCUUAACUUAGGAAUUGCAUUCGAUACUGGGAGACUAGAGUAUGGGAGAGGAUGGUAGAAUUCCAGGUGUAGCGGUGAAAUGCGUAGAGAUCUGGAGGAAUACCGAUGGCGAAGGCAGCCAUCUGGCCUAAUACUGACACUGAGGUACGAAAGCAUGGGGAGCAAACAGGAUUAGAUACCCUGGUAGUCCAUGCCGUAAACGAUGUCUACUAGCCGUUGGGGCCUUUGAGACUUUAGUGGCGCAGCUAACGCGAUAAGUAGACCGCCUGGGGAGUACGGUCGCAAGACUAAAACUCAAAUGAAUUGACGGGGGCCCGCACAAGCGGUGGAGCAUGUGGUUUAAUUCGAUGCAACGCGAAGAACCUUACCUGGUCUUGACAUA